AACUGCCCAUAUUUAUGACUCUGUUGAUGCAACAAUUAAGAAAGACAUAAAUACAGACAGUGAAAGUGGGCCUAGUGAUCUCACCUAUGCUGAGAUUGAACACAAAUCUACUAAAAAACAGAUGAAAAAGAAAGAAAACAAAGGGAACAACACUGAGAGUUGUGACAUCGUUUACUCUAAACUGAAAUUGGAAAUGGGUCAAGGUG